CUCGUCUCUCACACCUGAAAAACCUUCUACUUCUCUGUCUAGCCAAGAACAAACUCCUUAACUCUAUCUCUAUUUUCUACCAUCUUCUUCAUCCCUCGUUGGUCCAGCUCGCUCUUACAGGACUCGUUAGAUUCACCCGGGGAUUAUGUUUCGUGCUAUUAUAGCUCUCUCCGGCGAGGAACACCCGCGCUUCUUCUCUCCGUUCUCUUCUCGCUUCUGUUCACCGUAUUUCUUCUUCCUUUCUCUUCUGGUUGUUUCUCCUCCUUUGAUCCCCACUGGUACGCAAGACAUCGUCGUUUCUUCUGCCCACGAGGAGGCCCGGCGGCGCUGAUUGAUAAAAUAGUUGGCUCGUCAGUGCUGAGUGCCGAAUAAUUGGUUUGUCAGUCAAAGGUGAUCGCGUGAAAGGAUAAUGCUUGUCAACGGGAACGGCCGCGACACGCGUAGUGCGCCGCUUUUUCGUCCUCACCACGCCAAAGGUGAUCUUCAACCAUGGAAAACGUACAGCCAAAAACGAUGCCUUGCUCGGUAUACCAAUUGAUCGUUCAAGGUCCUCUCUCCUAUCGUCGGAUACGAGUGAUUCACUCUUUCGUCGUCGUGAUUCAGUUUUACAUACUAUGCUGCACGUUUUGCAGGACGUGUAGUCGUUGGUUCGUGUUCUGCAUCUUUCAAGAAAAUAACCAGGCGGAGUAGACGUUUGUCAAAUUGCGCGGCGGAACGUGUUCUUUAACUAUAUUCAACUGUUAAUUACGAGCGUGCUACCGAUACAGUUUGAUCGGGAAAAUUCUGCUGGCGGAUUUUGUUCGAACUAAAGAAAAUUACACAGCUAACUAGUUUGUUCCUCCAAAAUCGAACGUUAAUCGUAGCAAAAUUAGAAUUUUCACGGAGAAUAGAGCUGAUCAAACUUCUGUGAAACUAAUAUACGGAAUUGGCUGUUCUUCGACGAAUUCAGAUAGAUAAAGUUUCAGCGUAUAAUCUGUCUCUAACGCGGUGUAGUGGUCGAUGACUCAUUGGAUUCGAUAAAAAGAACAGCGACAAAUUAAAAGUUGAAGAAGUCAAUAAACGAACAGUUCAGAGCUGUAUCGACCGACAAAGUAACCGGAGGGUGUACAUCAUCAUUCAGCCAGGUCCGAGCGGCGUCAUACUUUCUCACGAAAUCAUUUUUAACAUUCUCGAAGCGGUGACACCGCGUAGAGGAGAAGGGAAAACAGAGAGAGAGAGGAAGAGAGAAACAGAGAGAGGAGAAUGGAAUGGGGUAUCUCGGCGAUUUUGAGCAGUACAAACAUCAAUUUCGGUCCUGGGGGCGUGCAACACGGGACGCAAAAAGAAAAUCUCGAAACGGACGUAGAUCUCUACGUGGGAUCAGGUAUAUCCUGGAACAGGCCAGCAGCUAUCCGUCUCGGUCCCUCUGCAGAAUGUUAGAAGAUAUAUUAUACUCGAAGAGGGUGGUAACACUUGUUUGAUUCAAUUCCAGGAACAAGCUCCGAGGCGCCCGUUCAAUUUUUCUUCCGCCAAGGGAACUCCCGCUUCUUCUACUUGCGUACGCGUAUAUAUGUAUGAUGUCUAUGCAUGUGUGUAUACACGCGUACACAUCGCCAUCCCCAUAGCUCACGACACGGAUUCGAGGUCAUUACAGAAAUGUGAUAAGAAUAUGAUGUCCGCUAUAUAAAUCUCUUGGCAAUUGAUCGACCUUGAUUGCAGGGAAUAACCAUUUUUCUUCGUUGCGUCCGAGGCGCUCCUGGGGUCAAUAGACGGUCGAUGCAACCUGUUGCGAUAAAGUUGUUCCGGCGUUCAGAUCGAGUCGAACGAGGACGCCAGUUGAACGAGGUCACAAGGAAUAAAGUUGUCGAGACACAACCUCAGGAACACGAUUCCUUCAUAUGAUCUCCCACGACUCGAGACAUCUUGCACGGAAGAAGACCAAGGGGGAAAAAAAGAAGGAAAAAGAAAAAAAGAAGAAAAAGGAACAAAAUAAAGAAAAAAAGCAAUCCAAAUAAAAGAAUGAAAAGGAACGGCCAUAGAAGCAGAUCAAUGGGUCAACCUGUCGCAAUAAAAAUCUCGUGGCUACCUGAGUAAAGCGAAGUAACGGGGUAGGUGGCAGUUUAACCAUCGUGUUCAGGAUCGUCGGUGGCAUAAUCAGGAUGCUAGAGUAGCGCUACCUGGAUGUCGGUGAUGGCGGGGGCUGAAAGGAGCGCCAUCGAGGAAGGAAGGAAGAGAAGGAACGCGCGUGAUGUCCGCAAGAAAGCGAGGUAAAAGGUGUCGCGGUGGGCCUGCUGCACGCGGGCACGCGUUAGAAUCCGAUUGUGUCCCGGAAGGGAAGAAGAAGAAGAAGAAGAAGAAGAAGAAGGGCAGGAAAAAAAAGGAGGCAAGUGGAAGAACUGCGGCCUCGGAGACGGAGACGGAAAAAAGGGCAGUGGGUAGGAAAGGAGAAGAAAACGGAACGGGUGGCCGGCCAAACGAACCCUUCCUCCCAACUCGACCAGCCCCGCUGGACUUUAAUUCCUGCUAUUAUUGAAAUACGUGGCCGCCACGUGCCACGGGGCGACUGCUCUUUCCUUCCUACCGUUUCAGCCCACAGCGUCAAGGGAGAGUUCUGCACGCGAAAAUCGGAACGCGCACACACGGUUGGAAUGUGACUUGCCGCUCGAGGUAUACGUAUACCUGAGACCCCCUGGAUGCUCUUCCUCGAGGAUAAACUUUCUUCGUUGCUACUCGUCUUACCGGAUACUGUUUUAUAGGCGCCAUUGAAUUACAUGUAAAUGUUUUCGUGUGUAGUUGUAAAUAUAUAGAUACAGACUUACGAAAUAUAAUAUAUUUUACGAAUAUAUUAUACGAAACAUUUUGAAAUUUCUGAUUUUGAAAAUAACUUUUAUCAAAUAAAUUAAAGUCUAUGGUAUUCUAAACAUUCUGAGCGUUCGAUAUCACGCGUAUAAUUAUUAUCGUGAAAUCCGUUAAAAUUAUGUAAUAACCGAGUGAAACGGUUGCACGGUUGAUAGCGUUCCUGUUGCAAUUCAUUUUUGUGUCAUUGACGCAAUAAAUUUCUAUAAUGGACGGUUCUAAUGUAUGUUACUAUAUUAGUUGAUUUUUAUACUGACCUAUAAAACUUGUAUAAUACAGGUAAUUGGAGCUUGAUGGUAUUUUAAACAGUCUCAGUGUUUGAUAUUAAGUACAAUUAUGACCGUGAAAUCAGCUGAAAUUAUGUAAUUAUUGUGUUAAACCGUUGCAACGUUGAUACAAAAAACAGGGCAAGUAGAAGAAAACACAGUAAAGUAGAAUGUAAUUGCACAGCUCUGCCGGAACUCGACAAGAUAAUCCAGUUGGUAAACGGCCGAGGUGCAUUAAAGUUUCAACCGCGCUUUCGGCCUAUCCGUCGAUAACGAUAAUGACAAACAUUAUCACGGAAGUUUAUCAAUGCAAACACGCGUCGCCGCAAACACUAGAUUAGAUUCCCUUCACGAGCAAAUUUAACUUUCCUAGUGAUAAAAAAAAGGGAGAGAAACAAGUCGAGAAAAAAAAAAGGGAAAAGGGGGAGGAAAGAAAAAAGAAAAUACGAUAAAAAAAAUCCAGAUAAUCACUCGUUCAGCGAGCACAAAAAAUUCUAUCGUCACGACGAACCUGCUGAUUACUUUAAUCACCGAGAGAAAAAAUGUUCUAAAUGCUUUACAGUAUGUACGAUAUAAUCGCAAUUUAUAGUGUGAUCGCACACACGAUCGUUUGCUUGGUUGUGUGCGCCCAUUUAGCGAGUGCAACUGCAGAUCACUGAUAAACACGAACCUGCCAUAGCUCGGUGUCAUAAUAUUACAGUCAUUAUGGUAACAACGUUUUCCUCGCAGCAUCGUAUGCCCGGAUACUUAUGCAUCGUGAUCUGCCAUCUCGUCUGGUAUAUAAACGGUCGUGAAGAUCAUUGUGCAAGCCAGACAACAGAUUUGCACUGUAACGUUAACUCGCGGCAAUCGAUAGUUCCUUAAUGCCGGUGUCGUACUUACGAUGUGUCAUUCGCGAAUAACCACGUUUGUUGUUAUUAAUCAACAUUUAACGCUGCUCUUUGAGUAAAUAAAAAAGAAUAGAUUUUUUUACAAUUAAUUUAAUUUAA